rnacentral:rRNA from 1 species
CUACGGGUCGCUCCAGUGGGGAAUAUUGCGCAAUGGGGGAAACCCUGACGCAGCGACACCAUGUGAAGGAUGAAGGCCCUAGGGUUGUAAACUUCUGUCUAGAGGAAAGAAUCAAUGACGGUACCUCUAAAGAAAGCACCGGCUAACUCCGUGCCAGCAGCCGCGGUAAUACGGAGGGUGCAAGCAUUAUUCGGAAUUACUAGGUGUAAAGGGCGUGUGGGCGGAAUAAUAAGUUAGAUGUGAAAUCUUGUAGCUCAACUAUAAGCCUGCAUCUAAAACUGUUAAUCUAGAGUAUGGAAGGGGGAAACGGAAUUUCUGGUGUAGCGGUGGAAUGUGUUGAUACCAGAAGGAACACCGAUGGCGAAAGCGGUUUCCUGGUCCAAUACUGACACUAAGGCGCGAAAGCUAGGGGAGCAAACAGGAUUAGAUACCCUCGUAGUC